rnacentral:lncRNA from 1 species
AAACAUAUUACUACACAGAAUAUAAAGAGCACAACAUAUAAACAACAGAUUUAUCGAAUACAAUAGAAGAUUAGUCUCCGAAUACAAUUCAUCAUAUUAAUCUCCGAAUUUAAAAUACCGGACAAAGUUAGAACAUUACAAGUCUCGAGACCGUGAGUAGCGAGUUUGUCUUCACAUUACAAGUCGAUAUCGAUCAUCUAAACUACCAUCACAUAGAAGAGAGUUGCGAUCAUCACGAGAAAGACAGGCAAAAUUAUCUAAAGUACAACAUCAUCGACACCAAGCAUGUUACUGAAGCCGUGCCUCGAGAAUCACUUUCGCGUCCUUUGCCUGCUACCCCUGUCCUCGUCUUCUUCCACCUAUUGCGGAAAGGUGAGGAACAAAUUGUGCUUCGGCAAGAAUUUGUGCUUAGUUUAAAUUAGCGUAUGGCACGAUGAAAUCAAUUUGAAAGAAAAACUAACAUUGUGAAACAAAUGCAUAUUUUGGGAGAACCUUUACAAUAAAGAAAUCAUCCAAAGAGCUUUCAUAAAGAGAAAAGCAUAAUUACUGAUCCCCCUAGGCCACUACUACUUUAUGUGUUGGACAGCAAAUCGUACGUGUCAACUGACAAGACAGACAGUAAGAUGUGUUCGAUUUUAUCAAUGUUUAUAGGCGACAUGGUGUAUGAUGACAUCAAGAAUAUUCAUACUCAUGUCAAAAAAAUCAUACCGAGAACAAUCGAUUUACCUCGGUGAUAACCUUCCUAAAUUUUUGCCCAAUCUUUGAACUUGAAUCAAAGUCUGAUCGCUUGGGUUUCUUUGUUACUCGCUCUUCCAUAUAAUCUUCAUCUCCAUCAUCUGCAAUCAUUUUGUAUUUUGUAUGGAGGUCAGAUUUGCAGUUGGCACUACUAUGCCAAAUAACCAUUUGUCCAAAUAAAUAUUUCUACACGGCAUACUUAAUUAAACAAGUCAGAAUGGAAUUUCAAGGCCCAUAAUUUAGAAAAUGUAAAGUUUCUUUACAUUAUCUAGUGAACACAGAAAAAUGAAAAGUAUCUUCGCAAAUCGGAGCACUCUAUAACAUGCAAAAUUAAAAUCAGUAGAAACAAGGGAAAUGUUUACCAUCUUCAUCACCAAAGCCUUCAAAAUCUUCCAUAUCAUCCAUGUCACCCAUCUCAAAGAUGAGCAAUCAGGCAAUAUCACUGCUCACAACACAAUUUUGCACCAGAAUUAUCCCAUGCUGAAGGGAGCAGAUAAAUACUCUCGUGGACUGAAGAAAAAGUACAACUCAUAUCUAAAUGUCAAAGUUUGCAUUUUGUUUGAGAUUGUUAAUUUUACCAAGGAACUCUAGCAAGGUGAAUAGAACCGGCCAAUCAUACAUCAGCAGCGCUUUACCAAUUUAUUCACUAAUGAACACCUAGAAACUCAGAGCAUUUCUUAUCCCAUUGUGGCAAUUGUGUUUGUUUGCUAAUGUUUGCAAUGUAGGUGU